CAGGGCUGGGGAGCUGAUAUAAGUCAGGCUGAGCUGAGGCUGGCUGCUUUUUGGUGGAGUGGUUGGGCAAGGCAGUGCAGUGCUCUGGGUUCCUUCAGUCAGAUCAUCUUGAGCAUCAGGCAGCAGUGCUGGCUGGACCUCGGAUGCUGUUUGCUUGGGUAAGG